AUGGGUGGCGGCGGUGCGUUCGCCUGGCUGCUCGUGGCCGUCCUCCUCAUGGCCCUGGGUUCUUCCACGAGCACGGCAGCCUGCUCCUCGCGUGUCCUUCCAGCGCAGGCGAGGUCCAUGGACGACAUCGACGACGACAAUGAUGAGGACGAGGAGGAGGGGGAGGACGACCAGGACAUGCGCGACCCCACCCCCGAGCCCGACGAGCUCGACGAGGAGAUUGUCGAGUCCGACCUCGAGCUCGACCACGACGGCGUCGUCCACCCCGACCACGGCGACGCGCCACAGAAGGUCCCCUGCUCUGUUCACUCCCCAUCUAUGUUUCCUUGUUUCCAUCGCCGUUCUGCUCUGCUCUGCUAG
rnacentral:rRNA from 1 species